rnacentral:lncRNA from 1 species
AUGCAGAACACAGAGGAUGUGGCUCUUGUCUUGAGAACAAUGUCACAGAACCCCCAGGCAAAGAGUCAGCUCGGUGAAGUCUCUCUGGCUCACCCCCGAGAAGAUGGAGCGUCUUCUGUGACAUCCCCACGUGCCUGUCCUCAGACUCCCCUGUCCUGGCCUGAUGGCCUGACCCAGGAAGCCUGUGAUCUGACUCCAGAUAAGGAUCAGCGGGCCACGUCUGUGAGGCGAUUCUGCUGGAUUCGGGCCCAGCUCCUAACCCAGCCACUCCCAUGUUGAUCCCCAAUUAGCUGCAGACACACACCGUGGGCACCCAGGAGUGUUGACUUCUUGGAGUCAGUUCGCUGCAUCUGAUGAAGAGCAGAUUAUCCAGACUAUGCCUCACAGUACUGAUCCUCCUUUUCUGGAAUGUCAUCAGACAUAGUCCUAAAUGCGAAGGUGGGUUAGUGUUUGCUCAAGCAUUUUAGCAUCCGGGCGCCGCAGGAGACAGGCCCUUACAAAUGCAUUUCCUCCAGCUCUGAGUGGCUGCCCUCAUUCUCGGCCCUGAAGGAAAGCACCUUGGCAGGGCCCAGAGACCUCUGGCAGCACUCCUGUCCCUUGUUAACCUCUGUGACCCCGUCCUGUGUCCUGUCCCGUCCUGUGCCAGCCCCCACAACGUGCUCCGUGGGGUCUGUCCCAGCAGCCUCUUCCCUCCCAUGUGGACACAAUCUGACUCAUGGCUCGUAGCUCCAAAACAAACCCAUUAACCACUAUUUUUUCUGCUCACCCUGUGAGGCUGGUCAUCGCCUCUGGGCACCUCUCUGCUAGACAAGAAACCCUUCUCGAGAUGUGCUGUGUGUGGGCACCUUCUUCCAAACUGGGCUUUGGCUGCAGACACCUCAGAGCUCUGUCCCCAAGGAGCUCACGUUCUUCUGGGGGCGCAGAGCCAAACGUGUAAGUAAGACCCUGCAAAGCAAACCAGAUGUAGGUUCGUGGGGAGAGUGCCUGGCAGCCUGGGGAGUCAGGGUGGCUUUUGAUGAGAAGGCAGCUACACCACGAUCUCAGGAAGAACAUUCCAGAACUGAGGGAUGAGGGGUGUAAAGGCCCUGAGAGGCCCUGAGAGCACCACAGGAUGAGGGGCAGAAAGAAGGUCUGUGUGUGAUCCUGGGGUCCUAGGAUCAAGUCCCGCAUUGGGAUCUCCACAGGGAACCUGCUUCUCCCUCUGCCUGUGUCUCUGCCUCUCUCUGUGUGUCUCUCACGAAUAAGUAAAUAAAAUCUUUUUUUUUUUUAAAGAAGAAGUCUCGAGUGAAGAAGGGACUUCAAGGUCAGCACAUGGGCUGCCCGAGUGUAGACGGGGGCGGCAGGACUGAGGGCUGGCCCUGGGCGCUCCGACCCUACGGCCUCUGCUGCAGGAGGAGGACCCAGUAAAGGGGCCACAGACCUUGGACUGGGCAGCCUAGACAGAGGGUUCUAGAAGGACAAUGUGACCAGUCACAUCAAAUGGCAUUAGGAGGCUGAGGGAGGAGAGCAUUAGUUUUGGUGCCAUGGCAGGUCACCUAGAACCAUCUCAGGGGGAAUCGUGGGGACAGCAGCCCCAUUGGGAAGGCUUAGAGGAGGAGGUGACAAAGUGGAGCUGACCAGUCAGGACAACUCUGUGGUGCUGGGAAGGGAGCAGAAGAGUGGGUGGUGGAUGGACGAGGGCGUGGGGUCCAGAGAGUUUCCCAGGCCACCACUGGGUGUCCCGUGGUGGCCGCAGAAUGGGUGAUGGGAGAGAGACAGGUGACAGUUUACUGAAGCAUAUCAUCCCUGAGCAGGUGGGGGCAGGGGGUGAAAUCCUGAGCCACGUAGACAGAAACCAGGGCAUGGCUCCCAUUGUGGGGCAUGCGGAGACCAACGUGGGGGCUGGGACCUGGCGACAGGGCGUUCUCAUCUAGAUACAUCUACGGUCUCUAUAAAAUCUGAGAUCAGAUCAUCAGCCACGAGGGAGGGAAGGAAGCCACAUGGAAGACAUAGGGAACGAAGGAGCGAUAAACUAGGGAGGUUUCUGGGAAAGUGCACAUGGAUUUAAUGCAACUGUCCAUUGCUCCUGAAUGUGAAAGGAGGACAGCCACUCCAUCGCACGAGUCUGCGCAGCUCUGAUCAGCUUCCAGGUGCAGGCAGAGGGGGGGCAGACGGUGGAGGCAGAGAAGUUUCAGGAGGAGGUGAGCUGGAACAGGAGAUGGUGGUCAGAAAGCUGGAGGCUUGAAGCCAA